GUACUGUGCUUUCUUUUAGAACUCAUUCCAGGGUAAACUGGAUUGAUGUUGUGCUUUAUGUAAACCGUGAGGCCAAAGAACAGAAGAAUAUGAAAGAUCCCACACUGGUGAAAACAGCCUGGGCUGAAGAAUCAGACAAAACUGGGUUCUGACGCACCCUGUCACAUAGAAAAAGAGACUUUGACGAGUGACUUUAUCUUCUCUGAGCCUCAUCUAUGAAAUGAACACAAGUUAAACCGAUCCGGGAGCACGGCUGAGAGAAUGAAAUGAGAAGAGAGUGAAAAUGAUAUUCCAGGUAAUGAA